rnacentral:misc_RNA from 1 species
GUGAAUCAUCAAAUUUUUGAACGCAUAUUGCACUCUCUGGGAUUCCGGAGAGUAUGCCUAUUUGAGGGUCAUUUGAAAUAAUAUAAAUUCCAAGAUUUCUCGGAAUUUAAAAUGGGUUGUCCAUUUUUUGUGGUCGCCUAAAAUCCAAUACAAGCUCUUUUUCUUGUGUUGCGUGAUACUUUCAGUUACCUCGCUAUUUAACCAGAAAUCAUCGUGUGUGUUAUGAAUGUUGCAAGUAAUAAAAAAUGCCAUAGAUUUAUCUCAUGCGAACUAGAAAUCGAAUAAUGACC